rnacentral:sRNA from 5 species
GGCAACGACCCGAAGGGCGAAGCGCGCAGCGCUGAGUAAUCCUUCCCCCACCACCA